GGGCGGUUGGCGCAGUGGUAGCGCGCUUCCCUGACACGGAAGAGGUCACUGGUUCAAACCCAGUAUCGCCCACC
rnacentral:tRNA from 1 species